UAAUACGGAGGGUGCAAGCGUUAAUCGGAAUUACUGGGCGUAAAGCGCGCGUAGGCGGCUGAGUAAGUCGAUUGUGAAAUCCCCGGGCUCAACCUGGGAAUUGCAGUCGAGACUGCUCGGCUAGAGUGUGGGAGAGGGUGGUGGAAUUCCCGGUGUAGCGGUGAAAUGCGUAGAUAUCGGGAGGAACAUCAGUGGCGAAGGCGACCACCUGGCCCAACACUGACGCUGAGGUGCGAAAGCGUGGGUAGCAAACAGGAUUAGAUACCCUGGUAGUCCACGCCGUAAACGAUGUCGACUAGCCGUUGGAGACCUUAGAGUCUUUAGUGGCGCAGCUAACGCACUAAGUCGACCGCCUGGGGAGUACGGCCGCAAGGUUA
rnacentral:rRNA from 1 species